rnacentral:misc_RNA from 1 species
UGUUGGGUUCUGGAUUAUAGCCAAUGCCAAGACCAUAAUCCACUCCACGCACACCUCGACCACCUACACCCCUCCCUCUACCCUUUUUCCCACCUCCUUUUCUCGCAUCACGUUUGGACCUGAAUCUCCCAUCCUUCAUGGAAAGAUCCAUAAGUUCCAUGGAGACAUUCUGACCAGCAGCAAUCAAACUGUUAACCAAUUCACCAGCAAAACGUGCUUCUUUUUGAGUAACAAGAGUAUAAGCAAUCCCAUCCUUGUCACCAGCACGACCAGUCCUACCAAUACGAUGCACAUGCAUGUCCAUGUCUCUUGCAAUAUCAAAGUUCACCACCGACUUGAUUGAUUUGAUGUCAAGUCCACGAGCAGCAACAUCAGUUGCAAUAAGAACAUGAUAGACACCAGAUUUAAAUUUUUGCAAAGUAUCCAUCCGA